AAGAGAUUAUCUUAUUAAUAGCUUUAAAGGAACUCUUAACUUGCUUACCCAUUUGACAUGCAUCACAUACUUUGUCCUUUUCAUAUUUGAUCUUUGGAAGACCAUCAACUAGCUCAUCUUUGCUCAAAUUUUUGAGGAGAUCCAUGCUAGCAUGAGAAAGCCUUCUAUGCCAAAUCCAAGAGUUAUCACUAAUAGACACAAAGCACUUCAUAUCUUGGUUAGUCAUAGC
rnacentral:lncRNA from 1 species